rnacentral:tRNA from 1 species
GCUCCACUAGCUCAAUUGGUUAGAGCACCUGACUUAUAAUCGGGAGGUUCCAAGUUCGAUCCUUGGGUGGAGCA